ACUGAGCCCAGACCUUGUAAACGCAGCUGUUUGGGGAUGGACUUGUGACAACUAGAGGUGAAAAACGGUUUAAGCUGCGUCAAUUGGUCAAUCAGGUUUUCCAUGGAGAGAGCUUGAAAGUAGUUUCUUGAAUUUGUUACUGUGGAUAGUUGCUUCUCAAGUGUCCAUCAAACAUAUUUACCUAGUUUUAUGUUAACAUUCAUACACUCAUGCAAAGGUGUCAAUUAUUCAACAGUUUAAUAGUUUAUUUUAACAACUAGAGGUGAAAUUUAGGUAUGUCGAAGAGCUUCUUCUAAUAACUGACAAUAUUUUUGUUCUUUAUAGGAAACGAUUCCAAAAUUGAUUUCGAGUGUGGAGGUGAUGCUUGAAAGACGGAAAAAUCAUGACGAUAGGGAGAUUGCGGUAUUCCAGGACCUUAUAGUUUUGACAUCGGAAAUAAUUUCCAGGACAGCUUUUGGAUGCAGAAACCUUCAUAAAAUAAGAAUUCCUGGAAUCAGGUGAAGCUUAUUGUCUCUCCAAUUAUUCUAUAGACAAAUUGGGCUGCAUCUUUCACACGUUUACUUUUUAUUGUUGUAUGCAGAAAAUACUUUAAGACACGAUGAUAUUGAAGCAGAGAAACUUGACCUAAGGAUAAUAAAAAGCAUUAUAAAGAUGAUAAAGAAAAGAGAGGAGGGGGAAAUGACAGGUGGAAUGGAUGGUUAUAAAGUGACUUUCAUGGACAACAAGUGAAGGCCAAGUGCACUUCUUGUCUCGUGUCCUGCAUGCAAUUUAUAAACUCUCGCACUCAUCAAUCAAGUCAUCUAUUGUUAAUCAGCUCGCCUUGUCAGAACAGCGAUGCAAGCAGACUGCCUGGACUGUUUUACUGUUAGCAAUGCAAGCACACUGGCAGGAAAAAAGUAUGGAACGAGGUCCUUGAAUUGUUUGGCCAGCAGAAUCCAAGUCCACGAGGCAUCUCAAGAUUGAAGACUUAGAUGAGCAUGGUUAUCAACGAAUCUCUAAGGCUAAACCCCCCAAAUAUGGAGGUCCAUGCUCCAUCUCUAGCUCUUCAUCGUGACCUUCAAAUAUAAUGAAACAAAGAUUGCACACUCAAUGGUUCUUCUGCCUAUCACCUAAAUAAGUCCAGGAACCGGUUCUCCUUCUUGCAAUGUCCCCUCAACAUGGACUUCGACUCCUGAUCCAGGCAGUGUGAAAACAAAAAAAAAAAAAAAAAAAAAGA